GGUUAAGCGACUAAGCGUACACGGUGGAUGCCCUGGCAGUCAGAGGCGAUGAAGGGCGUGCUAAUCUGCGAUAAGCGCCGGUAAGGUGAUAUGAACCGUUAUAACCGGCGAUACCCGAAUGGGGAAACCCAGUGUGACUCGUCACACUAUCAUUAACUGAAUCCAUAGGUUAAUGAGGCGAACCGGGGGAACUGAAACAUCUAAGUACCCCGAGGAAAAGAAAUCAACCGAGAUUCCCCCAGUAGCGGCGAGCGAACGGGGAGGAGCCCAGAGCCUGAAUCAGCAUGUGUGUUAGUGGAAGCGUCUGGAAAGGCGCGCGAUACAGGGUGACAGCCCCGUACACAAAAGCGCAUGUGCUGUGAGCUCGAUGAGUAGGGCGGGACACGUGGUAUCCUGUCUGAAUAUGGGGGGACCAUCCUCCAAGGCUAAAUACUCCUGACUGACCGAUAGUGAACCAGUACCGUGAGGGAAAGGCGAAAAGAACCCCGGCGAGGGGAGUGAAAAAGAACCUGAAACCGUGUACGUACAAGCAGUGGGAGCACAGGUUUACCUGUGUGACUGCGUACCUUUUGUAUAAUGGGUCAGCGACUUAUAUUCUGUAGCAAGGUUAACCGAAUAGGGGAGCCGGAGGGAAACCGAGUCUUAAUUGGGCGUUAAGUUGCAGGGUAUAGACCCGAAACCCGGUGAUCUAGCCAUGGGCAGGUUGAAGGUUGGGUAACACUAACUGGAGGACCGAACCGACUAAUGUUGAAAAAUUAGCGGAUGACCUGUGGCUGGGGGUGAAAGGCCAAUCAAACCGGGAGAUAGCUGGUUCUCCCCGAAAGCUAUUUAGGUAGCGCCUCGUGAAUUCAUCUCCGGGGGUAGAGCACUGUUUCGGCUAGGGGGCCAUCCCGGCUUACCAACCCGAUGCAAACUGCGAAUACCGGAGAAUGUUAUCACGGGAGACACACGGCGGGUGCUAACGUCCGUCGUGAAGAGGGAAACAACCCAGACCGCCAGCUAAGGUCCCAAAGUCAUGGUUAAGUGGGAAACGAUGUGGGAAGGCCCAGACAGCCAGGAUGUUGGCUUAGAAGCAGCCAUCAUUUAAAGAAAGCGUAAUAGCUCACUGGUCGAGUCGGCCUGCGCGGAAGAUGUAACGGGGCUAAACCAUGCACCGAAGCUGCGGCAGCGACACUGUGUGUUGUUGGGUAGGGGAGCGUUCUGUAAGCCUGCGAAGGUGGCCUGUGAGGGUUGCUGGAGGUAUCAGAAGUGCGAAUGCUGACAUAAGUAACGAUAAAGCGGGUGAAAAGCCCGCUCGCCGGAAGACCAAGGGUUCCUGUCCAACGUUAAUCGGGGCAGGGUGAGUCGACCCCUAAGGCGAGGCCGAAAGGCGUAGUCGAUGGGAAACGGGUUAAUAUUCCCGUACUUGGUGUUACUGCGAAGGGGGGACGGAGAAGGCUAUGUUGGCCGGGCGACGGUUGUCCCGGUUUAAGCGUGUAGGUGUGUGUUCCAGGUAAAUCCGGUUCACUUUAACACUGAGGCGUGACGACGAGGCACUACGGUGCUGAAGCAACAAAUGCCCUGCUUCCAGGAAAAGCCUCUAAGCAUCAGGUAACAUCAAAUCGUACCCCAAACCGACACAGGUGGUCAGGUAGAGAAUACCAAGGCGCUUGAGAGAACUCGGGUGAAGGAACUAGGCAAAAUGGUGCCGUAACUUCGGGAGAAGGCACGCUGACACGUAGGUGAAGUGAUUUACUCAUGGAGCUGAAGUCAGUCGAAGAUACCAGCUGGCUGCAACUGUUUAUUAAAAACACAGCACUGUGCAAACACGAAAGUGGACGUAUACGGUGUGACGCCUGCCCGGUGCCGGAAGGUUAAUUGAUGGGGUCAGCGCAAGCGAAGCUCCUGAUCGAAGCCCCGGUAAACGGCGGCCGUAACUAUAACGGUCCUAAGGUAGCGAAAUUCCUUGUCGGGUAAGUUCCGACCUGCACGAAUGGCGUAAUGAUGGCCAGGCUGUCUCCACCCGAGACUCAGUGAAAUUGAACUCGCUGUGAAGAUGCAGUGUACCCGCGGCAAGACGGAAAGACCCCGUGAACCUUUACUAUAGCUUGACACUGAACAUUGAGCCUUGAUGUGUAGGAUAGGUGGGAGGCUUUGAAGUGUGGACGCCAGUCUGCAUGGAGCCGACCUUGAAAUACCACCCUUUAAUGUUUGAUGUUCUAACGUGGACCCGUUACCCGGGUUGCGGACAGUGUCUGGUGGGUAGUUUGACUGGGGCGGUCUCCUCCUAAAGAGUAACGGAGGAGCACGAAGGUUGGCUAAUCCUGGUCGGACAUCAGGAGGUUAGUGCAAUGGCAUAAGCCAGCUUGACUGCGAGCGUGACGGCGCGAGCAGGUGCGAAAGCAGGUCAUAGUGAUCCGGUGGUUCUGAAUGGAAGGGCCAUCGCUCAACGGAUAAAAGGUACUCCGGGGAUAACAGGCUGAUACCGCCCAAGAGUUCAUAUCGACGGCGGUGUUUGGCACCUCGAUGUCGGCUCAUCACAUCCUGGGGCUGAAGUAGGUCCCAAGGGUAUGGCUGUUCGCCAUUUAAAGUGGUACGCGAGCUGGGUUUAGAACGUCGUGAGACAGUUCGGUCCCUAUCUGCCGUGGGCGCUGGAGAACUGAGGGGGGCUGCUCCUAGUACGAGAGGACCGGAGUGGACGCAUCACUGGUGUUCGGGUUGUCAUGCCAAUGGCACUGCCCGGUAGCUAAAUGCGGAAGAGAUAAGUGCUGAAAGCAUCUAAGCACGAAACUUGCCCCGAGAUGAGUUCUCCCUGAGACUUAGAGUCUCCUGAAGGAACGUUGAAGACGACGACGUUGAUAGGCCGGGUGUGUAAGCGCAGCGAUGCGUUGAGCUAACCGGUACUAAUGAACCGUGAGGCUUAACCUU
rnacentral:rRNA from 2 species